CAUGGAAAAACAUCUUUGAGGGAGCAAGAGAGACCAGCAGGGAGGCUGGAUUUAAAUAGCAGAGGAAUUUCACUGAGCCCGAAGCAGCUCCCUGGUACGAGAUGACCGCUCUGAAGAGGAGUGUGCAGCAGAAUUCCUCAGCCUUUCCCGUGGGAUCCCUGGGACUGAGGAUGACACACACAGCUGUGUCCUCAAGGCCAGACACUCACCCUGAGAUGUCCCCUCGCUCGUGCCAAGCUCCAGCAGGGCAGAGGCAUUCUCUUACAAACCCCACACCUGCCAUCCCCAGGUCUCUAAAAGCAUCAUGAACCACGCCAGCAUCCCAAUUUUCCAGACAGGGAUAUUGCCCUGGACAAACAAGGCACGACAAAGCUGGGUAUGGACCUGGGAGGAGCUGGCACAAAAUCUGCUUUUCCCUGGCUGCAGUAAAGGAUCCUUACAGGCA